rnacentral:rRNA from 1 species
UACGAGGGGGGCGAGCGUUGUUCGGAAUUACUGGGCGUAAAGCGCGCGCAGGCGGUUUUCCAAGUCAGUGGUGAAAGCCCGGAGCUCAACUCCGGAAAUGCCAUUGAAACUGUAAAACUUGAGGACGAGAGAGGUGAGUGGAAUUCCCAGUGUAGAGGUGAAAUUCGUAGAUAUUGGGAAGAACACCGGUGGCGAAGGCGGCUCACUGGCUCGUUUCUGACGCUCAGGCGCGAUAGCGUGGGGAUCAAACAGG